rnacentral:rRNA from 1 species
CAGUAGCCGCGGUAAUACGUAGGGUGCAAGCGUUAAUCGGAAUUACUGGGCGUAAAGCGUGCGCAGGCGGUUCGCUAAGACAGAUGUGAAAUCCCCGGGCUUAACCUGGGAACUGCAUUUGUGACUGGCGGGCUAGAGUAUGGCAGAGGGGGGUAGAAUUCCACGUGUAGCAGUGAAAUGCGUAGAGAUGUGGAGGAAUACCGAUGGCGAAGGCAGCCCCCUGGGCCAAUACUGACGCUCAUGCACGAAAGCGUGGGGAGCAAACAGGAUUAGAUACCCGGGUAGUCCCUGUCUCUUAUAC